AACCUCCACCUUCCAGGUUCAAGUGAUUCUCCUGCCUCAGCCUCCUGAGUAGCUGGUAUUACAGGAGUAAAACAGAAAUUUAUUUCUCAUAGUUCUGGAAGUUGGGAAGUGAAGACCAAGGUGCUGGCAGAUGUGAUGUCUGAUUAAAAAGUCUUACUUAUAUGAGUAUAAAUUAUAACCAACUAGCCAGCAUUCCUAGAGAACUUUGUUUUCUUGAGAAUCUUGUUGAACUUCAAGUUAACUACAAUCAGCUGAUAUGCAUACCUAAAGAGAUUAAAUUCUUGAAGAAGCUUCAGAAGCUUUUGCUAGCCAGAAACAACAUUGGAGUUUUGCCGGAGGUGAGCAAAACAUGGAACCACAGUAUUUUGCUGUUGGAGAAGAACUCAACAUGAUGGGA
rnacentral:sRNA from 1 species